UAUACAUCGCUUCCUGUGUUUAAUAACCGGAAGCUAUGUUAGUACAGAACACAUGCGCAUUGCAACGUUUCUGAUAAAACUUUUUUGUUGAUGUGACAGUUUUUUAAAAUAUUUCCGUUUUGCGUCUUAUCGCUCAAGUUCAUUUGAAAAAAAUGACUCGUGGAAAUCAACGGGAAAAGUCCAGGGAAAAGGCUGCGAAGAAAAAGCAAGAACAGGAUAGGAAAAAAUCUUCAUGUGAAAAGGGAGCAAACAAAGGGAUGACCCUGGAAGAGAGGAGACAUAGGGACGCUGAGAUAAUGAGACAAAAACAAUUGACGAAGCAGGGGACAGCUGAAGGUGGAGCUACAGGCGGGGCCAGCAAAUAACAUUACGCCCUCAACAGAAUGUUCAUUAAAUAUUCAGAUUUGUUUAAAAUAGAAAUUGGAGCAAAAAACUGAUAAUUUCAUUGUAAAUAUCAUUUAUGCUGUCAGUGACUACUUGUUUUAUCCACAUUUCUGAGGAAGGAAGUGUUCAAAGAAUUCAAAAAUAGACCAUGUUUCUACAUAAGAUAUCUGAAAUCAUAUAUGUAUUAACUAUUACAUGGAUUAAAACGUUUGUGCUAUUCUUUUGAAUGGAGCUAAAUGAGAGAUUAUUUUUUUAUCUUUUGUUAAAUCAUGGACAGUCAAUUUGUAUUAUAUUAUUAAAGCUUUUUGUGGAAAUCAACACAAGCUUUUUUCCUGUAGUUUCAGCAUGAAGUAGAAAAUGCUAACUUAGCUUGUUUUCUGUCAUGUACAUGUAUUAUGUUCAUUUGUCGCCAUUUAUAACUUCUGAAGCUGAAA